UGUGUGUGUGUGUGUGUGCGUGUGUUCUCAUUUCCGCUUCCCCUUUCUGAGCUGGCAACAGCAGUUUAAUGAGGACAGAGAGAAAGGUACAACAUGCAAUAUGAUAUUUUGUCAUUGUCCUCACUCAGACCCCGAUACCUGGGAAGGGCUUGGCCCGACUUUGCUAACUGCUCUGCCUCAAACUCUGCUCUCUGCCUGCAGACCCGUCCCAUUCUCGUGCUUGUAACUGUGAACUAGUGGAAAGACCCCGCCUAAACCGGUGCUGCUUUGUGUGGGGGGACUACUGUCCUCCGAAGCUGCAGGAGAAAGCUGGCCAGGAGAUAAGCUACAGCAAGACAGGCUGGGCGUCGAUAGGAGGGAGAAGUCACACGCUGGACGGUGCCAGGCCAGCUUCACUGGAAGGCUCAAGAGUGAUAACCAUCUGUGGGGGUUGUCUCUCAGGCUGUACAUCUCAGAGGAGGAUGGAGGGAUUGAACGGCUGCUUUAGACCAUAGGAGUCUCGGAAUGCUCCAAUGCUAGGCUCAGGGGAAUUUUUGUUCUGAAGAUCUUCCCGACUGCAGUGACAUGGACGAGAACUAGAAAUUAGGAAUGUAUUUCCUAUCUAUGAAGGAAUGUGAGAACAUUUUGCAGGUUGGGGUGUGUGCCGAAUGGGGUGCAGUCAACCUGGCUUGAGGUGGAGGUUGUCCCAUCUGCAGCAAAAUGGCGGUCCUGGGGUUUCCCACAGCCCUUUGCAAUGGAGCUGAUAUGUGCAUAUCUUGGCUGUAAAUGGGGAUAAGAUGCAG
rnacentral:lncRNA from 1 species